rnacentral:rRNA from 1 species
CCUACGGGGGGCAGCAGUGGGGAAUAUUGGGCAAUGGGCGAAAGCCUGACCCAGCGACGCCGCGUGCGGGAGGACGCUUUUCGGAGUGUAAACCGCUGUCAGAGGGGACGAAACCCCGUCACGUGAAUAGCGUGGCGGCUUGACGGUACCCUCAAAGGAAGCACCGGCUAACUCCGUGCCAGCAGCCGCGGUAAUACGGAGGGUGCAAGCGUUGUUCGGAAUCACUGGGCGUAAAGCGCGCGCAGGCGGGACUUGCAAGUCGGGAGUGAAAUCUUGGAGCUCAACUCCGAGGCUGCUUCCGAAACUGCGGACCUGGAGACCGGUAGAGGCGGGUAGAAUUCCCGGUGUAGCGGUGGAAUGCGUAGAGAUCGGGAAGAAUACCUGUGGCGAAGGCGGCCCGCUGGGCCGGAUCUGACGCUGAGGCGCGAAAGCGUGGGGAG